AUUGAACGCUGGCGGCAUGCCUAACACAUGCAAGUCGAACGAGUGGCGGACGGGUGAGUAAUGUCUGGGCAACUGCCUGAUGGAGGGGGAUAACUACUGGAAACGGUAGCCAAUACCGCAUACCAUCGGAUGUGCCCAGCUGGGAUUAGCUAGUAGGGGGGGUAAAGGCUCACCUAGGCGACGAUCCCUCGCUGGUCUGAGAGGAUGACGGGCAACACGAGAACUGAGACACGGCCCAGACUCCUACGGGAGGCAGCAGUGGGAAAUAUUGCACAAUGGGCGCAAGCCUGAUGCAGCCAUGCCGGGUGUAUGAAGAAGGCCUUCGGUUUUUAAAGUACUUUCAGCGGGGAGGCGUUACCCGCAGAAGAAGCACCGGCUAACUCCGUGCCAGCAGCCGCGGUAAUUC
rnacentral:rRNA from 1 species